GAUGAACGCUAGCUACAGGCUUAACACAUGCAAGUCGAGGGGCAGCAUGGUCUUAGCUUGCUAAGGCCGAUGGCGACCGGCGCACGGGUGAGUAACACGUAUCCAACCUGCCGUCUACUCUUGGACAGCCUUCUGAAAGGAAGAUUAAUACAAGAUGGCAUCAUGAGUUCACAUGUUCACAUGAUUAAAGGUAUUCCGGUAGACGAUGGGGAUGCGUUCCAUUAGAUAGUAGGCGGGGUAACGGCCCACCUAGUCUUCGAUGGAUAGGGGUUCUGAGAGGAAGGUCCCCCACAUUGGAACUGAGACACGGUCCAUACUCCUACGGGAGGCAGCAGUGAGGAAUAUUGGUCAAUGGGCGAGAGCCUGAACCAGCCAAGUAGCGUGAAGGAUGACUGCCCUAUGGGUUGUAAACUUCUUUUAUAAAGGAAUAAAGUCGGGUAUGUAUACCCGUUUGCAUGUACUUUAUGAAUAAGGAUCGGCUAACUCCGUG
rnacentral:rRNA from 1 species